GCCGGCGCGGACGGCAGGGAGCGGCGCCCUCCGCACCCCGUGCCGCGGGUACGGACAGCGUCCCCCGCAGCGGGAUGCUCCGUGCCCCGUCCGAGCGGGCCCGGGGAACUCGCAGGGAAAAGCCAAUGUGGAGCCAUGGACCGUGGGAGGAAGUGGAGCUGGAUUUCACACCUUAACUAAGGUGAACAUUCCCAGCUCUCCCAGCCUGGCUCCAGAGCAGAGGAACCUUCAGAGCAUCUCCGUAGCAUCCUCUGGACUCAGUCCAACAGGUCCAUGUCCUUCUUAUGUUGGAGGCCCCAGAGCUGGAAGCAGCACCUCAAGUUGGGUCUCAUGAUGCUGUAAACCUGCCCCAAACCUCUGAAUGCAACAGAAUAUUUUUCUGGUAUUUAACACUGUCACUACAGAA